rnacentral:rRNA from 1 species
UACGUAGGGUGCGAGCGUUGUCCGGAAUUACUGGGCGUAAAGAGCUCAUAGGUGGUUUGUCGCGUUGUUCGUGAAAACUCAACAGCUCAACUGUGGGCGUGCGGGCGAUACGGGCAGACUGGAGUACUGCAGGGGAGACUGGAAUUCCUGGUGUAGCGGUGGAAUGCGCAGAUAUCAGGAGGAACACCGGUGGCGAAGGCGGGUCUCUGGGCCGAUACUGACGCUGGAGGAGCGAAAAGCCGUGGGGGAGCAAACAGG